AUUGAACGCUGGCGGCAUGCCUUACACAUGCAAGUCGAACGGUAACAGGUCUUCGGAUGCUGACGAGUGGCGAACGGGUGAGUAAUACAUCGGAACGUGCCUAGUAGUGGGGGAUAACUACCCGAAAGAGUGGCUAAUACCGCAUGAGAUCUACGGAUGAAAGCAGGGGAUCGCAAGACCUUGUGCUACUAGAGCGGCCGAUGGCAGAUUAGGUAGUUGGUGGGAUAAAAGCUUACCAAGCCGACGAUCUGUAGCUGGUCUGAGAGGACGAUCAGCCACACUGGGACUGAGACACGGCCCAGACUCCUACGGGAGGAAGCAGUGGGGAAUUUUGGACAAUGGGCGAAAGCCUGAUCCAGCAAUGCCGCGUGCAGGAUGAAGGCCUUCGGGUUGUAAACUGCUUUUGUACGGAACGAAAAGCCCCGGGUUAAUACCCUGGGGUCAUGACGGUACCGUAAGAAUAAGCACCGGCUGACUACGUGCCAGCCGCCGCCGUAA
rnacentral:rRNA from 1 species